CACGUAGGGGGCAAGCGUUGUCCGGAUUUAUUGGGCGUAAAGAGCUCGUAGGCGGUCUGUCGCGUCUGCUGUGAAAACUCAGGGCUUAACCCUGAGCUUGCAGUGGGUACGGGCAGACUAGAGUGCGGUAGGGGAGACUGGAAUUCCUGGUGUAGCGGUGAAAUGCGCAGAUAUCAGGAGGAACACCGGUGGCGAAGGCGGGUCUCUGGGCCGUUACUGACGCUGAGGAGCGAAAGCGUGGGGAGCGAACAGG
rnacentral:rRNA from 1 species